GAGAAAGAGGGAAGAAAUGGAGCCAGCUAGAAUCAUUUGUCUCUUUUUACCACUUAUGGAGAGAUUUGUGCAUACCAGGCACUAUAUAGAGAUGCCUAAACUCUAAGAAGAUGCUUGGAAACGUCUCCGACCAAAUGGCCAUGAGAACGGAGUCGUUGCUGGAAAAGUGGUUUUAUUUCACAUUACAAAGACAAACCAAGCAAAGAGGAAGAGUUGGAGAGGAGAGACCGAGAAGACACGGAGAAUUCCGGGAUUCUGCUGUCUAUCUCCGCAUGGGCUUGCUGGGAUCGGGGCGCUGCUGAUUAGCACUGGCUCUUGCUUAAGAGAAAGGAGAAAUAUCUAAAAUAAAAAAUAGUGACAACUGA